AUGAAAAAUACAAAAAAGCUGAAUACCUGGGUGUGGGCCGAGGAUCCUCUACGGCCUCCGUCAAUCCCCUCCUUGAUGGAGAAAAAAAGUUCCGAGGAGGCGGUUCCGACUACAAGCAAACAAAGUUCUGUCAAGAAGCUCCCAGCAAUAACGACAAGGGAAAGGCGCCCCCUCUGGGAACUUCCUGGAAAAAAAGAAGAGGAAGCAAAGCAAAAAAAGGCCAGUAUCGAAGCCCGCAAAACUGAAGAAAAAUUCAAAAGAGAUCUUCUGGCUCGUCAAAAGAAGCUUGAAUACAAACAAUGGCGGGACCUCCAUUUGUUAGAUUACUGGCAACAGAAGGAAAGGCAGGAAAAGGAGUCCCUGGAGCGGCGGCAGCAAGAAAAAAAAGUACGCCGAGAAAGGGAGCUGGCAGCGGCGGCUCUCCUGGAGAAGAAGGAAGGGAUCCGCCUGAUCUACACGGGGUCGGACUGGAUCCGGCCCCCCUGCGUUCCAGGGGAUCCCUUCCUGACGGGAAAUAAGGAGAGCCGCCAACCAAUCGAUCAACAUCGCCAGCCCUACUUUCUGCCUCCCAUAAAAGAGGAAGCCAACGCCGCUGCUCCUGGGACCAGCUCUGCAACGUUCAACAAAACGAACUGGCCAUUUUUCCUUCCAAAGCCGCCACCCAGGACGUGAUGAUUUAUAUCCCGCAGAGGAUCCUCGAUGACAAUGACCGGCCCUUUGAAUUACGAAGCCCACACCCAGGACUUGAUGCUUUAAGAAAUAAAGUUUUGACUUUGAGUUUUUUCACUUUACCAUUGCUUUAAUAAAGUUUUGAAAAAUAAGUAUCCGACUUUGAGUUUUUUCACUUUACCGUUGCUUUAAUAAAGUUUUGAAAAAUAAGUAUCUGACUUUGAGUUUUUUCACUUUACCAUUGCUUUAGUAAAGUUUUGAAAAAUAAAUCUUUGACUUUGGGUUUUUUCACUUUACCAUUGCUUUAAUAAAGUUUUGAAAAAUAAAUCUUUGACUUUGAGGGGUUUUUUUUACUUUACCAUUGCUUUAAUAAAGUUUUCAAAACUAAAUCUUUGACUUUGAGGUUUUUUUCACUUUACAUUGGUUUAAUAAAUAAAGUUUUGAAAAAUAAAUCUUUGAGUUUUAGGGUUUUUUUCACUUUACCAUUUGUUGUGACUGCGCCUUCGGGAACUGUGGAUGAUAGUGGUGGGAUCAGGAGAGGAAGGAAAAAUAAUGAUAAUUAUCCUCCCAAAUAAUUUACUAAGAGAAAAUCUCAGUAUAUCAAAUUCACCUAUCAAAUUGACAACAUCAAUAAAAUAGUGGGUUGAAUUAAUAUCAAAUAUUACAGGAGUUAUUUUCUGACCAACCAGGCAAACAAAAUAAGUAGUAUCUGUUUAUACGGCAGGAAGAAGAGAUAUACAAAUUGAUAAAUAUUAAUUACUCCAACUAAUCAGUCAAACUACUGCAACUAGUUAUAAAACAUAAAUUUUUUGAGAUUUGAGGAAUGUGAUAUGUAGAUGAUAUAUAUUUUAUAGUUGAAUUUGAUACGAAUUUUGGAUGUAAUAAUAUUAAAUACUGUUAACAACUUAUAUACACAGAUAUACACCGAUUCUGAUCAUGGACUCUGAGAGAGUGGGCAGUUAUAAUACAAAUUGAAGAUGACUACCCCUAAAUCGAAGAUGGAGGAUAAAAAAAUUCCCGCGAGGAAGGGAUCAAUAGCCGAGGAAGUUCACUUAAAGGACAUUAGGAGAGAACUUCAGAGGAUUGUGGACAAUCAAAAAAUGUAUCAAGACCAAAUGGCAACCAUGAAAAAGGAUUUAACAGAGGAAUUUGUAGAAAUGAAAAAAGAAAUGAAAGGUCUACAAGAGGACAUUAAAGAAAUAAAAGAGGACGACAAAAAAUUAGAAAAAACACAAGACAAUUUUAAGAUCAAAUUAGAAAAACUAGAACUGAAGAAUGCUAAACUGGAAGAAAGACAGGAAAGAUUAGAAAAGAAAGAAUUGGAAUUCCAGGUAAGAAUAAGAAACAUAGUAGAGGAACCAAAAGAAAAUGUGAAGCAAAUUGUGACUCAAAUCCUAGCAGACCUAUUACAAGUACAAGACAAAGAGAUGGAAGAAAAUAUAGAGAGAGCUUUCAGAGUAACUACAAACUUUUUUUAAAAAAAAAGUGUCGAGAGAUGUGGUCGUCCAAUUCGAGAGAAGAAAGAUAAGAGAGGAAGUCCUGAGAAUAAGCAAAAAAAAUACUAUCCAGUAUAAAGGGCUAAAAGUAACGAUCCUCAAAGAACAUCUGUCCAGUACAAUGUAAAAACAAAAGAAAUAUCUCUUCCUUACAGAAGAACUUAAAAGGAGGCAAAUUCGGUUUAGGUGGGAAAGAAGAGAGGAAUUAUGGCCACUUACAAACAUGAAGAGCACUGGAUCACAUCAGAAAACAAGGCCAAGGAAUUUUACAAGAACCUGAUGAUAGAUAAAACCAAGCCAAACGCCAACAUCAGCCCCUCUGAGGAGGAACUAGAAAGAGAAAGGAAAAGAGCCAGAGCUAUUUUGCCGGAAAAAUAUACCACCCAAGUCGAUGCACUGCUUCCAAAUUUGAUAGACCUAGAAGAAAAAGAAGGGA
rnacentral:lncRNA from 1 species